rnacentral:rRNA from 1 species
GCCAGACUCCUACGGGAGGCAGCAGUGAGGAAUAUUGGUCAAUGGCCGGAAGGCUGAACCAGCCAAGUCGCGUGAGGGAAUAAGGCCCUAUGGGUCGUAAACUUCUUUUGUCGGGGAACAAAGGGCGCCACGUGUGGCGUUGUGAGUGUACCCGAAGAAAAAGCAUCGGCUAACUCCGUGCCAGCAGCCGCGGUAAUACGGAGGAUGCGAGCGUUAUCCGGAUUUAUUGGGUUUAAAGGGUGCGUAGGCGGAAUGCCAAGUCAGCGGUAAAAUCGCGGGGCUCAACCUCGCUCCGCCGUUGAAACUGGCGUUCUUGAGUGGGCGAGAAGUAUGCGGAAUGCGUGGUGUAGCGGUGAAAUGCAUAGAUAUCACGCAGAACUCCGAUUGCGAAGGCAGCAUACCGGCGCCCAACUGACGCUGAAGCACGAAAGCGUGGGUAUCGAACAGGAUUAGAUACCCUCGUA